rnacentral:rRNA from 1 species
AAAACAUUUCUUGUUGAAUUUAAUAAUAAGUAGACUCUGCUCAAUGAUUAUUUAAAUGGCUGCAGUAAAUUAACUGUACUAAGGUAGCAUAAUCAAUUGGUUUUUAAUUAAAAUCUGGUAUGAAAGAGGUGAUGAAAUAUAUAUUUUAUUAAAAUAAUUUAUUUAAUUUAAAAUUAAAGUUAAAAUGCUUUAAUGAUUUUAUGGGACGAGAAGACCCUAUAGAAUUUUAUAUUUAGAUUUUAUUUAAAUAAUAUAAAUAAAGUUUAUAAUAUUUAUUUGGGAGGAAUUUUAAAUUUGAUUAACUUUAAAUAUUUAAUUACAUUAAUAUAUGGUUUAAUAAUAUUUUAAUUAUAAGUUAAAAAUUAAAUUACCUUAGGGAUAACAGUGUAAUAUUUUUUUAGAGUUCUUAUUGAAAAAAAUGUUU